GUGCUCACUUCGGGAGCACAUAUACUAAAAUUGGGACAAUACAGAUAAGAUUAGCAUGGCCCCUACACAAGGAUGACAUGCAAAUCCAUGAAGUGCUCCAUAUUUUA
ensembl:snRNA U6 U6 spliceosomal RNA